rnacentral:tRNA from 1 species
CUACUAAGUGAGAACUUUCA